ACCGGACAGUACAUUUGUUUGUGUACUGCUUUGUUGGUUAAAGACUUUUUGAAGUAAAGAGGAGCAUCUCAUCUGAACCUGAUGUCUAUCAUGGAUAUUUAACUGCAGUUCUGUGAGUAUCCCAACUUAACCAUGAAGCAUAACUGCAAACUGUAAGUCAUUAAUUUCUCAUUAAUCUUGGGCACAUUGAUGUAUUUUGGCUUCCUGGUGAGUUAACCUGUUACAUGAAGGUUGAUCUGAGUUGUAAGGAUGUUUUUAUUGGUUCAUGGGUUACUUAGGUGUUUGGUUUAUGUUGGUUUUAAUGAUUUGUUAAAAUGGUUACAGACUCCAAGUUAUUGUUGUAAGCUGGAGUAAUGGGUUGGGUUCUGAUAUCUUCAGUCUUCUUUCAUUCUACUCUCCUGAGCUCUGCAUCUUCAUCGUGUUGCUUUACUGAUGAGGCUGUGGUCUGAGUGAGCAGAGGUGCAUACUGGGAUACAGAGCUGUCUGAAGUCUACAGGUCUGUAGACACGCCCCCUCAGGGGAAACCGAGUGUUUGAGAAACUUUGGUGACGUCAGUUACAUGGACUGGAAUGUUCUUAAAGAUGGAGACAGGGAUUCAGAAAGAGAAACACCAGGGGGAGAUGAGGGGGCUCCUCAUCUCAACGACUAAAACACAACUUCAGUCUGACACAGAGAACCAUGGAACACAUUCAACAGUCCCCUCCAGGCAACGUGACUCCUCAGGAACAGUUUCAUUUCCAAGAAGGUCUUAUUUGGGGCCAUCCCCAUAUGGAUCCUGCUCCUCAAGAGCCACCCCCCUCCACUGGGUGGUCUUCUGAACAGAUGACCUCCUUCCUGUCCUCAGGCUGACUAAAGCUGCAACGUUUGCAUCUGUGAAGGCCCCUCUUUCAGGAAACCACUGGACUACAAAGACAUGACUUCAGAGAUGUUGAAUCAACCUGGGACACAUUGGACACAAGCAUAAUCCAUCACCAAUGUGGGACGCCACUGAAGAAUGUUGUACAUAAUUUACGUCUCUUCGAGACAUUGGUUGUUCUGUUAUGGGUGCCCUGGCAGGAGAGCUGGGGGGGGUGAUGGAAUGCUAUUUGGCAUGAGGGUUUUUACCCUGCAUGAUUGUUUGGACUUUUAUGGCUCAGUGGUUUGUGUGUUUGGGUUUGACAUGAGAUGGAAGUUUUUUGAGAAUUGCUAGGGUUCUACUGUGUGUGUGUGUGUGUGUGUGUGUGUGUGUCUCCCACUCACACCUGGCAUGGGGUUCUACGUGCCUGUCCUGGGUUCUAUGUGUGUGUGUCCGGCUUGCUUUGACAGUGAUAAUGUUCAUACGGGGGUCUGUGUGAUUGGCUUGGGAUAUUGGAAUGGUCAACUAAAUCAUACCUGAUGGACGGCCACACGUUUACAUAAGGGCCUCCAGUAGACAUGAAGAGACCUGAGCGACGCUCCGGAACGAUAUCCAACACACUGGGCAGGAAGGAGAGUAUCCAACUCAAGUGUAAAAGGAUGCAAGCGGCGUGUUCAGAUCAGUGACUUCAAACUAGGACUACACCAAUCAGGAUCAAUGGAGGAUGGACACCAAAAGGAAUUCCACAAGGAGAGUCUGACGUUGGAAAGGGACCUAAAUGGAUAUUCAAGAUGACCUUCAGACCUGUAAUGAGACGGCUCUUCCUACUUGGCUGGAUUGAUGGAGAGCCCUGUGGAUCUUGUCUUGCUCUCAGUUGCACGUCUUCUCAGGCUGAACUGUAUUUGUUUCGGACAGGACUAGUUGAACGAUUGGUUCCCUUAAAUCAGAACCAAUCCGGGAACUCCAGCUAGUGCGCACUUCGAGCUGAAGUUGUGCUCUUCAGCUGAGGAGGUAAUGAAACCUUCACUGGGGCUUCAAGUUGUAAAGAGGAGAAUGUUUCAAAGCAUUCCAUGGUACUCUGAAGACCGUUGUUGUGUUCCACUGGCUGAGAGGAAGAACCCACACAUCUUCCUCUUGGCCUUUCUCCUCUGAGAAUCCUGGCGCCAUCUUGAAGGAUAUUCCAGCUCAUGUAACUGAUGUCACGACAGAUUCUCAAACACUUGGUUUCUCCUGAGGGGUGUGUCUAUGGAACUGAAGACUUCAGACAGCACUGUAUCCCAGCAUGCAUCUCUGCUCACUCAGACCACACCCCCAUGAGUAGGAUGCAACACUCUAGUGAUGGAGAUGUAGAGUUUUAUAAGUAACGAGGGAGCAGACUAAGGUGAUUGGAACACAAUGGAAUGUCAAGUCUGUAAAUCUUUAAACCAUGAAGAUGGUUGGAUAGUUCAGGAAUAUGGCUUAUUUUUAUUAUGGACAGUCCUUUCACUCGGAUGCCCACUUCUCACUGGAGCUGUACAUGUGUUGGCUGGCUGGCAUGAUUUGCUGUUGGUGAUGAGGCGGUCAGGGUGACGUUGCAGGGCUAUGGUCGGCUCUCUGUGAGCUCAAUGUUUAGAUUUGCUCUGUAUGGUUUGUACCAUGAAUAAUCUAGAUAAUUGUAAAAUGUAGACACGGUUUUGUAUUGAAUGAUUCCAGGAUUUUAGGUUUAAAGUUGUUGUGGGACGUACAUGGUAGUUUGGUUCUUCGUACGGUUUUGAGUGAUACAACUUGUACACACUGGGUGCAUAAUAAUGUACAUGUAAUGUAAUGACCAACAGCAACAAACGGAUCUCCUCAAGGUAAGUCUGUUGGCUGUGUUUUAAUCAAGACCAUCGCUGGACUUCAGGAUCUUCCUCCGUUCAGCUCAAGGUGAGGCGCUGGUUCUGUUUUUUUCUUUGGUUGGUUCCGGCCGGAAUGUUCGGAUUCCUGUCGGACGGUUUGUGCUUCCCGCCGUGGAAGGUUCUGAGUGCGGUCACUUGAUUUAGUCCCAAUGGUUAGCAUAGAACGUUGUAGUCUUGACAACCAUAAGAAACCACCUGGCAGUUAGUUGGACGGGAGUCCCCUGAGGGAAUCUGGCGGAACGUUCUGGAUUGUAUUUGCGUAACCUCGAGCCGUUGCCAACGGAAACUAUUUUUCAGUCGGUUUCCAUCUGGAAUUGUUGCCCCUAUCUUAAACAACUUAAGUUUGAUAUUAAAUACAUACUGACACGUACGUCGUACAAUAUGUUGAUUUCCGAUGGUUGCGCCGUAUUUUUAACCACGAUGACGUGAUGGGACUCUCACUGCGUACAAAACAGCAUUCUACUUGCGGGCCCAUUUUUGACAUCAGGGAAGGCUGAAAAUCAUUUCAAGGAGGAAGAUAAUUUGACAUUUCUUCAACGGAACCCAGCACCUGAAUAUGGCUGAGUAAAUUUGAUUUAAUAUCGAUACUGCUUAGUGUUAUUUGUUACUUCAGCUUUUGUACGUUCUAAAUAUUUGCUGUCAUUAAUUGCUACAGAAGUUAAACCCUACCCAAUGGAAUGACGUUAAACAACGACUUUGGUGCAGAGUUACCAACUAGAUAAUAUCAAAGCUAAAAUAAUGGCCGUCAUUCCCACAUGUUACAGUAGAAGAUACUCUAGAACUGUACAAGGUUAAAAAGGUAACAUGUAGUUUGUCCCAAGGUGUCUGCCUUCUCACCUAGAGUAAGACCUCCACCUCCUCACCCGGAGCCAGACCUCCACCUUCUAUCAGAAGUCCUCCAGAACAGAUGAGAGGCUGGGGACCGGAGGCUUGUGGUGCCAGGGUGGACCGGAGACUGAGGCUGGAGACCAGGGGUCUGCAGCACCGGACCAGAGGACCAGGACUCUGUCUGAGGAAAGCUGCUGGAGGAGCUGAGACGCUGGAGGACGACUAGGAAUCGGCCAACAAGGAUUCCUCAACGUGUUUCUGGAGCGGAGGCGAGCUGGUCGGGGAGCCGUGAAUCUGGAGGAUGACCAUCACUCUACCAACAAGGAUUACUUUAGGGCCAGACUCGCGCUGUUUGUUCCAGACCAGGACUCUGGCUGAGGAGAGCUGAUGGAGGAGCCAAGACUCGAGCCAAGAGGGCAACAUCACUCCACCAACCAGGAUCCUCAGACAAAUUACGUUUGUAACCAGACCAGGAAUCUGGAGGACUGAUGGAGAAGCCGUACAUCUGGAAGGCAAAUCCUGAGGACCACCAGGACUCUACCAUCAAGGAUUCCUAAGUUUGCAUUAUCUGGACAUAGUGGACUAGACACACCUGAGCUGAACCUCACCUGAUCCUGUUUGGUCGGGGGUAGACACACCUGAGCUAAACCCGCCCUGAUCCUGACAUCCUGCUGGUCCCGUCUCCUCAGUUCAUAUGAGCCUCGUCCUCCAGAAGACCUGCUGAGCUCAGCAGUCUGAGGCUGAUGGAUCAAUGACCUCCAGUGGGAGUGAUCUUCUUGACCCCACAUGUAACCGUGUGCUUCCACACGCCUUUCCCUCACGUCUGUCACUAACCUCACUACUUCACUACUCUCUACUGCUUCCUCUUUUCUUCCUUCUCUGUGGUUCAAACCUUUACACUGAAGGUGCGUCUUCCUGCCCUCAGAGGGUUUAGCGUUAGGGUUGAGAGUCAGGGUUUAGAGUCAGGGACAGAGCUGGUCAGGGAGGACUGCUUUUACACAAACCUCUUCACUUGCUUUCGGAAUGGUGGUGACAUUUUGAAAAGAUUCAUUUGGGAAAAUGUUU